GUCGGGAAUAUUGCGCAAUGGAGGAAACUCUGACGCAGUGACGCCGCGUGCAGGAAGAAGGUUUUCGGAUUGUAAACUGCUUUAGACAGGGAAGAAACAAAUGACAGUACCUGUAGAAUAAGCUCCGGCUAACUACGUGCCAGCAGCCGCGGUAAUACGUAGGGAGCAAGCGUUAUCCGGAUUUAUUGGGUGUAAAGGGUGCGUAGAUGGACAAACAAGUUGGUUGUGAAAUACCUCGGCUCAACUGAGGAACUGCAACCAAAACUGUAGGUCUUGAGUACUGGAGGGGAAAGCGGAAUUCCUAGUGUAGCGGUGAAAUGCGUAGAUAUUAGGAAGAACACCGGUGGCGAAGGCGGCUUUCUGGACAGAAACUGACAUUGAGGCACGAAAGUGUGGGGAGCAAACAGGAUUAGAAACCCUAGUAGUCC
rnacentral:rRNA from 1 species